rnacentral:rRNA from 1 species
AGCAGCCGCCCGGGAACACGAAGGGUGCAAGCGUUACUCGGAAUUACUGGGCGUAAAGCGUGCGUAGGUGGUGGUUUAAGUCCGUUGUGAAAGCCCUGGGCUCAACCUGGGAAUUGCAGUGGAUACUGGGUCACUAGAGUGUGGUAGAGGAUAGUGGAAUUUCCGGUGUAGCAGUGAAAUGCGUAGAGAUCGGAAGGAACAUCUGUGGCGAAGGCGACUAUCUGGGCCAACACUGACACUGAGGCACGAAAGCGUGGGGAGCAAACAGGAUUAGAUACCCCUGUAGUCCCUGUCUCUUAUACA